rnacentral:lncRNA from 1 species
UAGUGAUGUGUACAGCUGUCAAGUCAUGAAGUACAGAGUCCUGGCAAACAAGAUUUUGAAGACUUAGUUUAUUUUUGAAUGUGAACACGUAGCCUUAGGAAAAGAUCCUAAUUCUGGGGUAGGGCUACUUGCCAUGGAAUCGAUGAUUAUGAAGCGGUCACGUGAGUUUCAUGACACGGAAUAAGAAUUCUGCCCAGUCUCUUCUGGAUGGCCUUCACCCAGACCCCCGCACUGAACUUCUGGAAGGCAAGAAAAGACGAUCUUUUAUACAUAAGAGCAGGUUUUAUUUUCCAAAACUGUGAACUUAAAAUUGACGCUUUGACUGAAUUUGUGGGGGGCGCUGGAUAA